rnacentral:tRNA from 1 species
UCCCAUGUAGCUCAGUUGGUAAAGAAUCUGCCUGCAAUGCAGGAGACCCGGAUUCAAUCCCUGGAUUGGGAA